rnacentral:rRNA from 1 species
GACGUAGGGGGCAAGCGUUGUCCGGAAUUAUUGGGCGUAAAGAGCUCGUAGGUGGCCUGUCGCGUCGGCUGUGAAAACUCGGGGCUCAACUCCGAGCUUGCAGUCGAUACGGGCAGGCUAGAGUUCGGCAGGGGAGACUGGAAUUCCUGGUGUAGCGGUGAAAUGCGCAGAUAUCAGGAGGAACACCGGUGGCGAAGGCGGGUCUCUGGGCCGAUACUGACACUGAGGAGCGAAAGCGUGGGGAGCGAACAGG